GAUUCAUGAUAUCAAAUCCUAUUCAUGAGCCUUUGGUAAUAAGUGACACACAGAUGCCCACCUGGGAGGGAGGGGACUCACUGGGCUUCCAGGGGCCUUUCACAAAUCAAUCUUCAUGCUCAGGUCUGCUGUUCCUGCGCAGAAACCAUAUGGCAACCCCCUAUUCUCACAUCUUUAUUAACUCUAAUUGAAUUGUGUGUGGAGAGGAUAAUAUUACUUAUGCAAUUAGGGCCAUGGGACUAGAUUCUUCUUGGAGACACAGAGGUCGGCUGCCUUCCCGCUUUACUGUGGAAUAUGAACCGAAACAUGGAAUAUACCAGGAUUAAUGCACAAACCAAACAAAUGCACUGACACAAUCACACAUAAAAACAUUGAUAGAAACAUACUAAGACAAACAGAAGCAGAAACAAACACACUGACACAAACACAAGCUGGCAAAAACACAUACACUGACACAAAAACACAAAGUAAAACAAAUACAUGCUGACACGACACACUAACACAAACACACACACACUGACACAAACACAUUUACACAAAUACAUAAACUGAUAUAAACACACUGACACAAACAAAGACUAAUACAAUCUCACACAUUGACAGAAACACACUGACGUAAACAAAUACAGUGAAACAUACAUGUGGCGAACUGAGCCUCAUUACGUGUUUUUGGAGGGGCCUGCAGGCCAGCCUCUUAGCAAAAAACUAUGGGCCCUUAAAAAAAACUACGUGAACAGACUUGGUUUGUGGGAUUUUAUAUUUGGUUCAGGAAUUGAACAGCCGCAUGAACCAGAGACCACCCUGGAG